GGCCGAGUAGGCGGCGAGUUGUAGCCUCGUGUACGGGCGAGUGUGUCCCCCAACCAG
rnacentral:tRNA from 1 species